rnacentral:misc_RNA from 1 species
AAGUCGUAACAAGGUUUCCGUAGGUGAACCUGCGGAAGGAUCAUUAACGAAUAACUAUGGUGUUGGUUGUAGCUGGCUCCUCGGAGCAUUGUGCACGCCCGCCAUUUUUAUCUUUCCACCUGUGCACCGACUGUAGGUCUGGAUACCUCUCGCCUCCCUUCUCUUAGGGUUAAAGCGGAUGCGGGGAUUGCUCGCAAGGGCUCUCCUCGAACUUCCAGGCUCUACGUCUUUUUACACACCCCAAUAGUAUGAUCCAGAAUGAUAGUCAAUGGGCUUUCAUAGCCUAUAAAACACUAUACAACUUUCAGCAACGGAUCUCUUGGCUCUC